GUUGGUAAGCUACCAGACACUUUCAUCAUUAACAUACUGGUAAUGAUAUCGUCACUUUUACACAUGAUAGUACCAAUUAUUACAACUAAUUUUGUUUUUGUAGUACUGAUACAGACAAGGGAAAGAACAGGCCUCCUGAAAUGUCUACAAUCUCUGUAUGAAUUAGCUCCUUUCAAGAUGAUAUAACUCAAGAACAAUAAGUACCCUAGGCCAGACUCGAUGAUAAAGGCAAAACGGGGCGAAAAUGACCACUAGACCAGGAUGGUCCUUGAUAGAUUGCAGACACAGAUGCAAAACCCCAGCCAGAACCAACUUCAGAGACAGCCAUGAAACAGAAAACCAGAUUUUAAUUAAACCAGCCAAUUUGAAGUGACUGAAAUGAAGGCUGCAGAACUUCCUGCUGCCGGUACUAUCCGGGCCAAUGACAUUAAUUUUUGUGGAUGAAAUAUAUCAAAGGAUAUUAUUACAGAAAAAAAUCACUUACUGGUGGUAAUGAAAUACAAUUCUCUAGU